GGCGACGUGGCCGAGCGGUUAGGCACGGGUCUGCAAAACCCUUUACGGGAGUUCGAAUCUCCCCGUCGCCU
rnacentral:tRNA from 1 species